rnacentral:rRNA from 1 species
UACGGGGGGGGCAAGCGUUGUUCGGAAUUACUGGGCGUAAAGGGCGCGUAGGCGGUUGGAUAAGUCAGCUGUGAAAACCACGAGCUUAACUCGUGGCCUGCAGUUGAGACUGUCUGGCUUGAGUGUGGGAGAGGAGAGUGGAGUUCCUGGUGUAGCGGUGAAAUGCGUAGAUAUCAGGAGGAACACCGGUGGCGAAGGCGGCUCUCUGGGCCACAACUGACGCUGAGGAGCGAAAGCGUGGGGAGCGAACAGG